rnacentral:rRNA from 1 species
UACGUAGGGUGCAAGCGUUAAUCGGAAUUACUGGGCGUAAAGCGUGCGCAGGCGGUUUUGUAAGACAGAGGUGAAAUCCCCGGGCUUAACCUGGGAACUGCCUUUGUGACUGCAAGGCUUGAGUGCGGCAGAGGGGAAUGGAAUUCCGCGUGUAGCAGUGAAAUGCGUAGAUAUGCGGAGGAACACCGAUGGCGAAGGCAAUCCCCUGGGCCUGCACUGACGCUCAUGCACGAAAGCGUGGGGAGCAAACAGG